CAAUAGCGUAUAUUUAAGUUGUUGCAGUUAAAAAGCUCGUAGUUGGAUUUCGGAUGGGACUUGCCGGUCCGUCGUUUCGAUGUGCACUGGCCAGUCCUAUCUUGUUGUCGGGGACUAGCUCCUGGGCUUCACUGUCCGGGACUAGGAGCCGACGAGGUUACUUUGAGUAAAUUAGAGUGUUCAAAGCAAGCCUACGCUCUGAAUACAUUAGCAUGGAAUAACACGAUAGGACUCUGGCUUAUCUUGUUGGUCUGUGAGACCAGAGUAAUGAUUAAGAGGGACAGUCGGGGGCAUUCGUAUUUCAUUGUCAGAGGUGAAAUUCUUGGAUUUAUGAAAGACGAACUUCUGCGAAAGCAUUUGUCAAGGAUGUUUUCAUUAA
rnacentral:rRNA from 1 species